UUGAAAGGGAAACGAUUGAAGUCAGUCGUACCGACGGAAAAUCAGCUCUUCGAGUGCGGACUUGUGGGCCUACGUGAGCUUUAACCGGCCUCGUCGUUUGCUACGUUUGUGCUUUUUGGGUGUACUUUUCCGUAUGGUAGGCCAACGUCAGUUUCGAUCACCAUAAAAUGAUCGGAGGAAUGUAGCUUCGAUCUUGUAUUGAAGUGUUAUAGCCUUUGGUAGAUGUGGUGACUGAGACUGAGGAUUGCAACGAAUACCCUUUGGGCUAUCCGUCUGACCUCUGAAAGUUGCUUAGGUGCCGAAAGCUUGCUUACGGUCAUCUAUGACGACGGUCAAAAGGUUAGAACGUGAUUAUAUUCGUUAAGGAUGUUGACGUA
rnacentral:rRNA from 1 species